AGAAUUUCAUCACUGAAACAGUAAGAAGACAAAACAUUUAAGCAGAGGGAGAACAGUGGGGAGAGGCAACUUAGUAGGAACUCCUGAUGGUAGUGGACAGCCUGCUUUGUGUUAAACAGGAGGAAUAAUUUAGUAGCAAGCUUUUUGGGAUUUCGAAACAAUAUUUGAGACGGUCUAUUUUCAGAAGUGCAGAUCUGCAAUACAGUCAGAUUCAAGGACUUGGAUGACUAAAGUAGAUGACCAGUCACAAAGAGGUGAUGUUGUUACUGGACAGGAACCAGCCUGGAGCGGGUCUGCCUCAGAUUGGCCAGU